AGAGUUUGAUCCUGGCUCAGGAUGAACGCUAGCGACAGGCUUAACACAUGCAAGUCGAGGGGCAGCACGGGAGUAGCAAUACAACUGGUGGCGACCGGCGCACGGGUGAGUAACGCGUAUGCAACCUACCUAUCAGAGGGGAAUAACCCGGCGAAAGUCGGACUAAUACCGCAUAAAACAGGGGCACCGCAUGGUGAUAUUUGUUAAAGAGAUUCGCUGAUAGAUGGGCAUGCGUUCCAUUAGGUAGUUGGUGAGGUAACGGCUCACCAAGCCGACGAUGGAUAGGGGAACUGAGAGGUUGGUCCCCCACACUGGUACUGAGACACGGACCAGACUCCUACGGGAGGCAGCAGUGAGGAAUAUUGGUCAAUGGGCGGGAGCCUGAACCAGCCAAGUCGCCGUGAAGGAAGAAGGAUCUAUGGUUCGUAAACUUCUUUUGCAGGGGAAUAAAGCGCAGGACGUGUCCUGUUUUGUAUGUACCCUGAGAAUAAGGAUCGGCUAACUCCGUGCCAGCAGCGGC
rnacentral:rRNA from 1 species